GGAUCAUUGUCGAAAUCGAACGGAAGAACGACCCGCGAAUCGUCAUUGCGUAGUAGACAGAGCCCGUGAGCACCUAACGCUCACGGGUCUCGCGUCGCGUCGGCGCGGGUGUACUGGAGACCCGCGUCGUACCGGCGGACAAAAAACGUCAGCACGGAUCGUGCCAAGGAAAUGCAUGGAGAGAAUCGUCGUCCCACGCCUUUGAUAGUCCUCGACGCGGGACGGGGGAUGUACGCAAUCUCUACUCAAGUCUAAACGACUCUCGGCAACGGAUAUCUCGGCUCUUGCAUCGAUGAAGAACGUAGCGAAAUGCGAUACUUGGUGUGAAUUGCAGAAUCCCGUGAACCAUCAAUUCUUUGAACGCAAGUUGCGCCCGAAGCCAUUCGGCCGAGGGCACGCCUGCCUGGGCGUCGUGAAUCCCCUUGCCCCUAGGCACCCGCAUGAGCAUUGGCGGGGAUAUAUGCUCGGGCGCAGAAUAUGGUCUCCCGUGGGAUCGGCAUGCACGGCAUGCCGAGGUGCGGUUGGCCGAAAAUCGAGCAUGGCGGUGACGGGCACCACGGCGUUCGGUGGAUCGAACGAGAUUGGCUGCGUCGUGGGCUCGGCAUGCGGCGGGCUCCGGACUUUUAAUAUCCCCGAGUGCGAUCCCAGGUCAGGCGGGGCUACCCGCUGAGUUUAAGCAUAUCAAUAAGCGGAGGAAAAGAAACUAACGAGGAUUCCCUUAGUAGCGGC
rnacentral:rRNA from 1 species